GACAGAGGGUGCAAACGUUGUUCGGAAUUACUGGGCGUAAAGCGCGUGUAGGCGGCUAUGCAAGUCGGAUGUGAAAGCCCUCGGCUCAACCGGGGAAGUGCACCCGAAACUGCAAAGCUAGAGUCUCGAGAGGAUCGUGGAAUUCUCGGUGUAGAGGUGAAAUUCGUAGAUAUCGAGAGGAACACCGGUGGCGAAGGCGGGCGAU
rnacentral:rRNA from 1 species